AAAAACUAUCAGCACUUAAUCAUCCCAUUUAUAUGUUUCUAUACUUUUACAGUAAGCAUAUUAUCCUUGUCCUAAUACUUGUAUUUGUUUACUUGUUAUGUUGAUCCGGUUAUUUGGUGUUAUUGAGCCAAUACGUUUCCGAUCAGGAGGGAAAUAAAUGUUGCUGAACAACUUAAUUGUAUCCGGGUAAGUAAGUCCGCAGUUUAUAAGCUUUGUAAUAUUGAUACCCUU
rnacentral:lncRNA from 1 species